rnacentral:rRNA from 1 species
AGAGUUUGAUCCUGGCUCAGGACGAACGCUGGCGGCGUGCCUUACACAUGCAAGUCGAGCGAGUUGAUUCUCUUCGGAGAUGAAGCUAGCGGCGGACGGGUGAGUAACACGUGGGCAACCUGCCUCAUAGAGGGGAAUAGCCUCCCGAAAGGGAGAUUAAUACCGCAUAAGAUUGUAGCUUCGCAUGAAGUAGCAAUUAAAGGAGCAAUCCGCUAUGAGAUGGGCCCGCGGCGCAUUAGCUAGUUGGUGAGGUAACGGCUCACCAAGGCGACGAUGCGUAGCCGACCUGAGAGGGUGAUCGGCCACAUUGGGACUGAGACACGGCCCAGACUCCUACGGGAGGCAGCAGUGGGGAAUAUUGCACAAUGGGGGAAACCCUGAUGCAGCAACGCCGCGUGAGUGAUGACGGCCUUCGGGUUGUAAAGCUCUGUCUUUCAGGGACGAUAAUGACGGUACCUGAGGAGGAAGCCACGGCUAACUACGUGCCAGCAGCCGCGGU